GAGGGUGCCUGAGGGGGAUGUGCUAAAGCCAAAGCACAUUUGCCCCCUCCCAGCGGGUAGGGGAGUGGUGGAGGCGGAGCACAGAGGUGUGGCCUGUCAGAGAAGGCGUUGUUACGACAGCACAGAGAGUACGGCCCUAGGAGCAGGACCCUGCACACAGCUGAGCUCAGAGGCUCCAGUCUGGCCACGAGAAUGCAAUGGGAGGUAUUCUUCAUUGAUCUUACUCGAAGUUGAGAACAUGUAUUUUGACUCUGAGAAAUGAAUAGAAGAAGUUUGGUUCCUGUAAGCAAAUGUCUCAGAAGAAUCCUUCUUUGAAGCUGCCACAAAAGCAGAAGACAUUGCGUGACUGUGCAAGUACAAGAACUAAGAGAAACUCAUAAGCACUUGGCAGAGAAGGUUCAAAGUGCACUAAAAGUGACAGACACUGGUUCCUGCAAAGAAAGGCCUGUGCUGUGAAAUACCUAACAGCUCAUCCAGAAUAAGAGUCAAAAUAAGGUUACCAUCUUUUGUCUAAUUUUUACCAAGAAUUUUGUGGAUUUAGUAUUCAGAAAAGGCUCUAUUGCACAGUUCUUCUCUGCUCUGCAUGAUCUCAGAUGAGGAAGCUCAACUGGGACUGGAGGAUGUCCUUCCAGGACAAUUUACCCAUGGGGUGAGUUUUCUUAAAAAAAAAAUCUAUUUCGACAGUCAGAGAUGAGCAAUGAAUGACCUUAUUGUACUGUGGCUGUUUGCCACGCUGAG
rnacentral:lncRNA from 1 species